GAAAGAAAGGAGGAGAGAGACCGUGCAUCGGAGCGAACCGCGAUCAGAGAGAAAUAACAAAGAAAAGGGGUCCUCAAUUUUUUGAUUCAGGAAAUUCUGUGUGGGGAAAAUAAGGAUCGUAGAAUACAGAGAAAUGUGAAGGCUAGUUUUUGAAGAGAUAAGAAGCAAUGUCAGGAGAAACUACAUGGGUUUCAGAUGGGAAGUGUGAAACGAAAAAGAAGAAGAAAAAUAAAGCUGAGAGUAUUAUUGUUGUGACGAUAAUUUUUCGUCCUGAAUCUCAAUUGUGGGAGCUCCAAUAAGAAUCUCAUCAUAGCAGGGAUCAAGCAUUUACUGCUGUGUCAACGUUUCUAGGUUUGGUGGAUGGUCAACCAGCAGCAUGACUCGGAAUGUAAAUGGAAAUGUUGGUUUUGCAAGUCAGCAUAUGAAUUGACCCCUAGUUUUAGGCUUUUAGCUGUGCGCUGCAAGAGAUGAAUUACAAGCCCGUUGUUCAGUCGACUUGGCUGGUAUUUAUUCAGAAGGAAAAUUUUUGUGUGGUUUGUGAAGUUUUGAUGAGGUCUAAACUGAAUUUGCAAUAGUUGGUUGAUACUGCAUUAUGUGAAAAUUGUGUUUCCUAAUAUGCAACUCCUCUUGUACUAAAACUAUGUAUGGAUUUGCUGCUGAACUUUAAAAUAAUUUGUGGUAUGUACAGAAUUUAAUUUCAGUCUCAAUGAAUCUGGAUUACUUGUCCUA